CUCAAGACUAGAGUCAUCUUUAGGUAUCCUGUUGCCUUAGUGUGCUAGCGUUCUCAAAGAGUAACUGCUGACCUUAUUCACUGACUGUGGCCCUCAUGGCAUAGUUGCUCACCGGGUUAGUGACAUGU